UCUGGACAAGCAGAGAUUCCUGGACUUCCCAGAACUCCCCAUGGUCCAUCACAUCUCCUGGAGAAGACAGGGGCUCCACUGAGGUCACUAGAGACACUACCACCACCACCAAGAACACUACUGUCACUGGUACACAGGUGUGCAAUCCCCUCCCUGUACAACUUUCCUGUCUGUCCAAACCUCAGGCUGCCUUUUCUGACACUGGUUGGCCUGAGCUCACACCAUGUCUCCUUACCCCAGUGACCCUGGAGCAGGCCCCCAACGUGACUGUAUGUCCCACUCCAAAAUGCAUUCCUUAAUUCUUGCAAAUGCAGAUUCAUCUUCCAGGCCAUAGACUUUAGCCCCAAGCAGAAUAUAGUGUCCUGCCUGUGGGAUGGGAAGCCUGGCAUCCGGCUUCAAAGGCUCUCAGCUCCUGACCUUCAAGGUUACUAGCACACUGACCAUCACUGAGCAUGAGUGGGGGGACCAGACAGUGUUCACCUGUCUUGUGGAUCACAGAGCAUGAACCCUUGAAAAGGAUGUGCCCUUCUCCAUGCAUGUACCCAGUGAGUGCCUUUCCCUUGCCCAGACCCCUUAUAGAGCUGUCCAUUCAGGGGUGGCAGAUGACACCCAGACCCAGCAACCUGCUCCUGAGCCUUGGCUUCCUGGAACUAUCAGAAGCAGGGCAGGGAGCAGGGGGGACACAGGACACUAAGCAGCACCCAGCUGGGUCUACACAUUUCCCUGACUUCAUAUCCAACCACCAUUCACAGGAAUGUUCUCUCCAUAGCAACUCCACCCACAGACAUCCAACUCUUCCCCAUUCCUCCCUCCUUUAAUGACAUCUUCCACACCAAGUCAGUCAAGCUGAUCUUCCUGGUCACUGACACGGCCCACCCCAGAGGACUAAACAUCUCCUGAUCUCACCAGGAUGGCAAGGAACUGCCAACCAAAUGCACAGACACUGAGAGCCAAGCCAGUGGCACUCUCAAUGCCAUAGGUGAGGCCAGCAUCUGUGUGGAAGAGUGAGACUCUGGGGAGACUUUCACAUGCACUGUGAUCCACCAGGACCUGCCCUUCCCAGUGAAGGAGACCAUCUCCAAGCCCAAAGCUGGGAACAAGAAGCCCCCUGCCGUGUAUGUGCUGCCACCAGCCCGGGAGCAGCUGGUCCUGCAUGAGCAGGCCACCAUCAUCUGCCUGGUGAGGGCUUCGCUCCUGUGGACAUCUUUGUGCGCUGGAUGAAGAGCGGGCAACCUUUAUUGUUGAACAAGUACGUGACCAAUGCCCCGAUGCCUGAGCACUAUGCCCCAGGCCUCUAUUAUGCCCACAGCCUGCUGACAGUGACCAAGGAGGACUGGAGCCCUGGGGAGACCUUCACCUGUGUAGUGGGCCAAGAGAGUCUGUCACACAAGUCCACUGGUAAACCCACCUUGUACAACAUGUCCCUGAUCAUGUCUGACACAGCCCACACCUGCUACUGACCAUGCUGCCCCAGCCAGUCCAGCGCCUCGGUCCAGUCGCUCUGCCUGUGUGCGUGCAAACUAACCGUGUCGGGGGUGUGGUGUUGCGUUUCCUAAAAUUAGAAAUAAAAAGAUCCCUUCAAAAGA